rnacentral:rRNA from 1 species
UGGAGAGGCGAGGCCUGCCGCUGUCCGCGGCGAAGUCUGAUUGGAAAUGAGCAUCAUGGAGGGUGAUAAUCCCGUUGAGGCCGCGGUAUCAACCAGCGCGCGCAAGGCCCGUUUUCGGCGAGUCGAGUUGCUUGGGAUUGCAGCUCAAAGUGGGUGGUAAACCCCACCCAAAGCUAAACACGGGGGGGAGACCGAUAGCGAACAAGUACCGUGAGGGAAAGAUGCAAAGAACUUUGAAAAGAGAGUUAAAGAGUGCCUGAAAUUGCUGAGAGGGAAGCGAAGGAAAGUAGUGCCGGUUGCGGGUGACCUUUUCGAGUUCCCCCCGGGGGCUCGGAUAUGUCGCCCGCCUUUGUCAGGGGAGUUAGUGAGGCUUUGCGGGAGGAUCGGGGCCGGAAGGUAGCCCUCCUCGGAGGGCGGAUGAACGGGCCCUGUUGUACGCGUCGCGGGCCAGGUGACACUCGUCGUUCUGGCGAUAAA